AUAGUUAAGCCACCACAGCAACUUCUUGUCACAGAUGAGCUGAGCAUGCAGGUGCAACUAAUCAACUAAUGAGGUGCAACUAUUUUGGAGUAAAUCACCAAAGACCUGUGGAUGAAACUACGUGGAAGAAGUUCAAUCAAGACACUGCUCUUCCUUUGCUGUUACAUUCAUAACUGUUUGAUUGGAGAGCCAAAGGAGACAGUGGCUUUGAUUGGCUGACCUUGACAUAGGUGGGACAGGGAGACAGCAGUAAAAAGCCAUCAACUGUCUGUCAUUAUCCACCCCCUCUUCUUCCUCCUCCUCCUCAGGUGGUUGGAUGUGUAAGGCGGUCAGAUUACUGUGGCCGAACAAGAUAAACCAGCUCUUUUCUAGAUCUUCACCACCCUCUCUGGAUUCUGCUGUUUGCUUUGACUUUCUUUUUCACAGGCUCGCUCCCACUUUCAUGUGAAGGGUCACACAUCUCCCCUUGCCUGAUUUCAUUUUUCCCCAAUCUUCCCAUUUAACCCCCUCUUCAGCUGAAUCCUCGCACACAGGGUCGAUAGGGUAGACAGAGGAGCUGACUUUUGAUGCUGUGAAGGAGAAAGAGAGCGAACAACAAAUUCAGAACGAUUUCUCAGCAGGAGCAGCUGAAAGUGGAAAAAAAUGAAAUGCUCUCAAGUCAAGAAUCAAAGAAAGAUCUCAAAAUGGAAACUGUUGCCUCCAGUUUAUAUCAGACAGACAGACUCCACGGGAGACACAAAAAAAAAAGAAGUAAAGUAGAACACAUGUUGGAGUUCAAAGGCUAAAGAAACAUUCUAACAAAAAGGGCAAAAGCUUUUAAGCGACACAAUAUGGAGACAUUCUCCUGCAGCUGUCAGUCGGAGUAGUGGGGGUUCUAUAAUUGGGAGUCAUUUUGAGCUCAGAUGAGCAGAAAGAAGAGGUUGUAUCUGAGUGAGCAUGAAGAGGAAGAAAAAUUAAGUCACUCAAGGAAAAUAAAGUUUAUCUUUCAAGGGUGACCUUUCAUAUAGAGAUGGACCAAAACUUAUUGAAAAACAAGGACCUUGGCUCUUCCUUCUUGUAAAACCUCAAAAGAUUGCAAAAUGACUGAAGCAUUUUAGAAAAAACACAAUCCUAAGGUCAGACACACACAACACACACACACACACUUAACAUACACAUACACAUACACAUACACACACAGGAGAUAUACCUCCAUUUGAAUCUAUUUGGUUGCCCACCUUUUUUCAAUGUGAAGAAUUCCGGGAGGCAGAUGAUGAAGCGAGGAUCACGAGGAUGAGAAGUUUGGUCAGCGCUGCUCUUGUCAUGGUUGCACCAUAUGACCAAACACACACAGACACACUUCUCACACCAACACAGGCAUGACUUGUAGCUCGGGGUAUCUGUUUUCUUUCUGAAAACAACACACAUCCAUUCAUGCCCUCCCUCUCACCAGCAGUGUAGCCUUUGGUAGAAGCCCGAUACUCCCUGACAGUACUGUCCAUAAUUCAAGGCAACAACGCAGCGACACACGUGUAGAAGAGCGAAGCAACAUCACUUCCUAUUACACUUCCUGUCGUUUUCCUCAGAACGAGUGAGAAAUGGAGAGUUGCAGAAACAAAGAGUUUAUAUCAGCAGAAUGUAAGUAUGAAAGUUGUGUGUUUUUCUGUUUCUGGACGUGUGUGGGUAAUGGUGUUAUGAUUGUCUUCUCUCAAGAAGAAAUAAGGGGACUUUUUAGACUUAACCUUAUAAAGUCCUGUGUGAACAACAACUCAUAGGUAACUGAUCAAUCGUGUUGAUUCUUGUGUUCUGUGUGGGUUAGUUUGGAAUGUAAUAUCUGUUAGCCAGGCUGAGAGAAGACAGUACCAAACUCACCUUUCUUUAGACUUUUAUGAUAUGCUGAGAAAAAAACAGGAUCAUCUGUGGUAGAACUGCUGUCUGCGUAUGAUGUGAAAAUCAGGAGAGAAACCGUGAAACUAACAACCAUGCUCUGAUGUUUUGUUUUUUACUUGAUGUGUUUUCCCCUGAAUUUUGCCCAUCGUGUCACUGUGAGAUAAUUCAGGCAUCAAUAUGACUUCAUCUGAUAUUUAUGACUUGGAAUGUCAUAUUUUUUUGUUACUGAUAAGGUUUUAUAGCAUGAUGAG